rnacentral:rRNA from 1 species
CCUACGGGAGGCAGCAGUGAGGAAUAUUGGUCAAUGGGCGCUAGCCUGAACCAGCCAAGUAGCGUGAAGGAUGACUGCCCUAUGGGUUGUAAACUUCUUUUAUAUGGGAAUAAAGUGCAGUAUGUAUACUGUUUUGUAUGUACUUUAUGAAUAAGGAUCGGCUAACUCCGUGCCAGCAGCCGCGGUAAUACGGAGGAUCCGAGCGUUAUCCGGAUUUAUUGGGUUUAAAGGGAGCGUAGGCGGGUUGUUAAGUCAGUUGUGAAAGUUUGCGGCUCAACCGUAAAAUUGCAAUUGAUACUGGCAUCCUUGAGUACAGUAGAGGUAGGCGGAAUUCGUGGUGUAGCGGUGAAAUGCUUAGAUAUCACGAAGAACUCCGAUUGCGAAGGCAGCCUACUAAACUGUAACUGACGCUGAUGCUCGAAAGUGUGGGUAUCAAACAGGAUUAGAUACCCUGGUAGUC